rfam:Hordeum vulgare subsp. vulgare, WGS project CAJW01000000 data, contig: morex_contig_157924
GUUGUACUCCCUCCGUCCCGAAUUACUUGUCGCGGAAAUGGAUAAAAAUGGAUUUAUCUAGAACUAAAAUACGUCUAGAUACAUCCAUUUUUGUGAGAAUUAAUACCGGACGGGGGGAGUAUAUG